rnacentral:rRNA from 1 species
GACGAACGCUGGCGGCGUGCUUAACACAUGCAAGUCGAACGGAAAGGCCCUGCUUUUGUGGGGUGCUCGAGUGGCGAACGGGUGAGUAACACGUGAGUAACCUGCCCUUGACUUUGGGAUAACUUCAGGAAACUGGGGCUAAUACCGGAUAGGAGCUCCUGCUGCAUGGUGGGGGCUGGAAAGUUUCGGCGGUUGGGGAUGGACUCGCGGCUUAUCAGCUUGUUGGUGGGGUAGUGGCUUACCAAGGCUUUGACGGGUAGCCGGCCUGAGAGGGUGACCGGCGACAUUGGGCCUGAGAUAGGGCCCAGACUCCUACGGGAGGCAGCAGUGGGGAAUAUUGCCCAAUGGGGGGAAGCCUGAUGAAGCAACGCCGCGUGCGGAAUGCAGGCCUUCGCGUUGUAAACCGCUUUGGCCUGUGACGAAGCGUGAGUGACGGUAAUGGGUAAAGAAGCACCGGCUAACUACGUG